rnacentral:rRNA from 1 species
AUUGAACGCUGGCGGCAGGCUUAACACAUGCAAGUCGAGCGGAGCGAGGGUGCUUGCACCUUAGCUUAGCGGCGGACGGGUGAGUAAUGCUUAGGAAUCUGCCUAUUAGUGGGGGACAACAUUCCGAAAGGAAUGCUAAUACCGCAUACGCCCUACGGGGGAAAGCAGGGGAUCUUCGGACCUUGCGCUAAUAGAUGAGCCUAAGUCAGAUUAGCUAGUUGGUGGGGUAAAGGCCUACCAAGGCGAAGAUCUGUAGCGGGUCGGAGAGGAUGAUCCGCCACACUGGGACUGAGACACGGCCCAGACUCCUACGGGAGGCAGCAGUGGGGAAUAUUGGACAAUGGGCGAAAGCCUGAUCCAGCCAUGCCGCGUGUGUGAAGAAGGCCUUUUGGUUGUAAAGCACUUUAAGCGAGGAGGAGGCUACUUGGAUUAAUACUCUAGGAUAGUGGACGUUACUCGCAGAAUAAGCACCGGCUAACUCUGUGCCAGCAGCCACCGUAACAC